AGUGUUUUGGCCUGAAGUGAAAGUUGCGUCUUUUAAUCCCUUUCUUUUGCAGGCAUGAGGUCUUGAAACCCCUGACUAUGAAUGUCAGCUCUCCUUCCCCAAAGUCUUCUUCUCAUUCUCGCACCACCAGUGCCUCCUCUUCCACCUCAAAUUUAAGUGAGAAGAUCUUGAAAUAUGAGACGUUUCUGAAUGAGCAACUCAAGCCGGAUUUGAAGGCCACUUUGGAAGCUCGCGACCGAGUCUUCUCGGAUAUUGCAGAAUAUUUAGCCUUGAGGAACUCGAUUUGCGCUAUUCAAGCCGCCAAGUUGCGGCCCAAGGAGCCAUUAAAGACGAAAGUUGACUUGGGUUGCAAUUUUUAUGUGCAGGCCCAUGUUGAUGAACCAGAGAAACUUUUCCUUGAGAUUGGACUUGGUUUCUUCUUGGAGUUCUCUCAGGAAGAGGCUUUAGCUUUCAUCGAAAAGAAAAGCAAAGUGUUGGAGGAUAAAGCUAAAACGCUCACGGACGAAUCCUGUAAGAUCCGUGCCAACAUCAAACUCACCCUUGAGGGGUUGCGGGAACUCCAAAACAUUUGUCAAACCAACUCGAAACAACGGCCACCUCAUCGAGACGUUUUCGCCUAGCCAGAAACCCUCUAACCUCGUUCAACAACUCACAUUUUGAGAAGUGCUAGACCUUCAUUGUAUAUUAAGAAAGUGCGGAAAAUGACCAAUUUAGAUGCAGUCUACGUCCAUUUCCAAGACUUAUUCGAUCAAGUUCGGGAGUUCUUGGAUGCUCUGGACCAUUUUGAAAAUAAUUCUAAAGAACUGGUCGAAAAGUUGUCAAACCACUUAAAACAAGUUCAAGUCGUUACUAGGUAAGUAAGUGCCAACAGAUGCGCUCAAGAUCAAUUCGGAAUUUGUCGACUUGAAAGAUCGCUUGCAAGGCAAGAUCUUAGCUCGAGCCAACAAUUUCUACGCAAUGUUGCACCAAAGCGCGGAAAAAGUUCAAGUUUGUGACACUUUAUCCAACGAGAGAGAGCAAGCCCUACAAACGCUUCAAACUUUGCCCGAUCCAGGCAUGUCUUUGGUGGGUUUACUUUCAACCUCACGUCCCCGAAUCGAUCAUUUGAUUUCUUGGUCCGGUGACGUUCUCGAGGUUUGCCAUCAAUUUCAAAGUAAUCUUUCAAAAUGGUUGGACAUGGUGUCGGAAUUCUGUCAAAAUCCCGAUCGAUCGCAAGAUAAAACUCUCCAAGAUGUUUUAUCCGAUGAGUCACCGUACAUGAAUUAUGAGACAAAACAAGAGCUCCAAGAUCUGACUGUUUUGACGGGAAACAUGCUCAUUUGAUUACCGGGUCUGCCAUGAUCAACGAGAAUUAGAACAGGAUGGAUGCAAAUUCAUUAGCCUGGAAAGGAAAUCCGAUGAGGCAAUUUGAAUGUGCAAUCCUUCAGUUUUUGUUCAACUCUUCCCGAUACUCACCGCAUUCGUAUUGUUCUUGUCAUGUAGCAGGACCUAUUGUGGUUGGUUAAUGACUAAACUAUUGCAAGGCACCGCG